UACCCCCCCCCCCCCGAAAGCCCCCGCACGCCGGUUUUUAGCGCGCAACGGCCGUAGCGGCCGUACCCCGACCUACUGACAGGGCCAACCCCUAAGGGCCCAACACCGCUUACUAUCGGGCGGAACCGUUAAGGCCCAACCAGGCGGACACGAGAGGCGAGACGCGCACACGCCACAACACCCCGU
rnacentral:rRNA from 1 species